rnacentral:snoRNA from 1 species
UGGAGGAUUGAGAAGGUAAGACAGUUGAACUUUAUGCUGUAUCUUACUGGUUAUAUCCUCCAAAAUUACUUCAGUGCAACAGCAGCUCGUGUUCCCCUCCUGACAUGAGGGAAAGCAGCACUGCCAUUGCACAUAAGAC